GACGACCUGCCCUUCAGUGUUCCUGGAACAUCUUCUCCAAAGUGGAGGUCGAGCCAGGCCUAAGAGGAAAGAGAGGGCAACUGCGGACGACCCCACCGCAGAAGAGGUGAAACCGACGGGCUCCAGGGCUUUUUCACUCAUUCCCUAGGCAUGUGGGACCUCGAGGAUGCCUAAUCAGCUAACGGGAGGUGGCUUGAGUAGGAUUUGCUGCCAGCUAAAGCGUGAGAUGCUACUGCGUGUGCAAGGCAAGGCUUUCUUCAGCGGCAUCAUCUUCCAAAAUAGCCCAGGUGCCAUUCAUGCCACUGAUCUUUGUUGAGCUCCUACUGUAUGCCAGAUACGUCAGGACACAUUACUGCAAACAGAAACCUUGGUCUUCAUGGAGUGAGCAUGCCUUUCUCCUGAAAAAUAAAAAAUAGUUGGUGUUUACUGCAGUCGUAUGCCAAAUACUGUGUUGAGAGAUUAAUUUACAUGAACUCAUAGAACCCUCAGGACAAGUUUAUGAGAUUCCCUUAAGUUAUUCUGAUGCAGACCCAGGCCUAAGAACCACAGCCUCUCUGCCCACCACAUGAUGUCACCAUCCAUAAAACAUCUGCUCUCCAGCCUAAAUUUGCUCUCAGCUGAAAAGUAUUCUGUGCCCAUCACAUGUGAAGCCUGAAGCACGAUGCUGGUGCAGUGGACCCAACAAGAGCACCUUCCUCUCCCCGCCUUGCCCCUUGGAGACGAGGCUCAAGGCUGAAGAAUCAAGGUGAUCAUCACAACAGCAGUAGCCUCCUAAGCACUCUCUGCAGCUCCACCCCAACUUCCCCUCCAGGCUCUUCUCUUCACAGUGCCAUUCAUGCCACUGGUCUUUGUUGAGUUCCCACUAUAUGCCAGAUACGUCAGGACACAUUACUGCAAACAGACAGAAACCUUGGUCUUCAUGGAGAACUGAGAAGACUGUGGGAGGAAGACAAGGUACUCAGUUUGUGUUAUAGUAAGUUUAAGAUGCCUUUUGGAUGUUCCAGUGGAAUUGUCAAGUAAGUAGCUGGAUAUGGAAAGCAAGAGCUGGGAAAGGUCUAAGUUUGAGAUACAUAUGUGGGUGUCAGCAUCGUAGGGCCAUAGCACUGGACGACAUCACUGAGACAAGGGAUGCAGAUGGGAAAGAGAAAAUGUAACUCAUACC